UACGGGGGGGGCAAGCGUUGUUCGGAUUUACUGGGCGUAAAGGGCGCGUAGGCGGCCACCGCAAGUCGAUUGUGAAAUCUCCGGGCUUAACCCGGAAAGGUCAACCGAUACUGCGGGGCUAGAGUGCAGAAGGGGCAACUGGAAUUCUCGGUGUAGCGGUGAAAUGCGUAGAUAUCGAGAGGAACACCUGCGGCGAAGGCGGGUUGCUGGGCUGACACUGACGCUGAGGCGCGAAAGCUAGGGGAGCAAACGGG
rnacentral:rRNA from 1 species